rnacentral:pre_miRNA from 1 species
AGCGAGGUUGCCCUUUGUAUAUUCGGUUUAUUGACAUAGAAUAUACAAGGGCAAGCUCUCUGU